UGAUUGAUAUAUACAAUGGGAUUUGCUUAUUGUAAUAGUGAAAAGUACAUAAUGGGACAAGACUAAAGGGCAUAUUAUGAUUACAGUCUCAUGAGAAGACAGAAAAUUCAAAUGUCAUCUUCGAUUGAUAUAUUGACUUAAAAAGUUGGAUUACAAUCAACAUUUGCUCUAUUCAUACACUUUUCAGAAUUCACAACUUAUCAAAUUUUUAAUCAAAAUAAACUAUUUUUCUUUUUAGUCAAACAACUCUUUAAUGAUAAUGAUUAAACAAUAAUAAAAUAAAGUACAUAUCCAAAUGAGAUUGUGAACGCAAGAUCUCGGUGGAAUGACUAGACGGAUGGAGGAUCACAUAGAACUAUUUUGCGAUGAAAAAAUUUGUACAAAGAGACUUCGACCAUUCAUCAAAAUUUAUGUUAACAAAUAACUGCUAUUUACAAUGUCGAAAGGUCAUUAGGGAUGGCAAAAUGUCUCAGAUGCAGGGCGGAAACAUGGUCUCGGCCCGAAUCCUCCUCGAUUAACAUUUAUUUUUAUUUUUAUGUUUAUAAAUUUAAAUAAUAUUUUAAAAGUAAAAGUUAUUAGAAGAAUAAAAAUAUAUUCUUUGUUACUCGCAGCAAGAAAAGUCCACAAAAAAGAUUCAACCCUGAAAAGAUGAAACCUAACUUUUCUAGUCAUAUUUUCACACUGACUGCAUCUCUAUUUUUCAACUGAUUAGUUGUUGAAAAACAAAGUAAACUUCAAAGAAAAUGUAAUUUAUGGCGCAUUGAACUGUUUUUUCAAUUUUGAAGAUAUAAAGAAGAGAGUUGCAAUAAGUGUAUGUUGACAAUUAUCAAAAAAAUUUGUCAAAUCUUACAAAAUGUACAUAUAGCCCCCGUUUGAUUCCCAUUUAUGCAAGAAUGAAAAUGAAAAAUAUAGUCGUUACGAGACUCACACAAGAGAGAGAAAGUCAAAUAUAAUGACUUGAAGUACUGGAUAACAGUCAUAUUUUUUAUUUUUAUGGUCAAAAAAUGGGAAACAAACGGGGUCAUAGUUGGAAUGGAUCCAUGUCCCCAUAUUAAGGACUGAUUGUUAUAUGUAAGUCUUGUUUUAACGGUGGACACGUAAAAUUUUCAAAAGUGUUUAUUUGACCAGACAAAAUUGGACUUUUGACUCCACCGAACAAAAGGUUUUAGCCAUUUACAUAAUUGUUUGUCAAUAUUAGUAGAGCCAAAAAUAAUAUGGCUAAUGACGAAGGAUCCAGCUGGCUUAAAUUUUUCAAUAAAUUUAAUACUAAAUCGAAGAGAGUGGCACAAAGAAUUCGUCUAGUUUUCCUAGAUUUAUUGAGUUAAGGCUUUAUUUUUAUUUUUUUUCCUAUACAAGUAGUCACGUAUUGCGUGAAUUCCAUUAAAACAUAAAUCUAUAAAAUUCUUGAAUUUAUCUCUUAAUCUUAGGGUCCGUUUGAUUUCGCCUGUUUUCCAUGGAAAUAUUUUCCAUUUUCCAACUUUGGCAUGUUUGAUGGCAAUAAUUUUUUUGGCAAUUUACUUCUUCACUCCACACAUGUGCCAUUUCCUUAGUUUUGUGAAACAUUAAUUCCCACCAAACCCAUGGGAAUUGGUUUUCCGGCCCCCACCCUCCCCCCUCCUUUUUUUGCAUUUGGAACAAAUUUUAUUUCCAAUUGUAACAAACUUUGUCCCUUUAAUUAACAAUUUUCAUGAAAAACAAAGUACAAAGUCAAACAAACACCAAAAAAUAGAAAAUUUCAACAUUUUUCCGAUGGAAAAUUAUACCAAUCAAAUACAUUAGUUGACAAUUAUUAGGAAAACAAGUUUAGGUAAGAAUUCGUUUUCUUUUCACCUAAAUUCCAUUCUUGACCCUUAGUAUAAUUUCCUCCAUGAAAAAAAAAAAAAAAACAAAAACAAAAGAAGAAGUUGAAUUUACCUUUAAAUGCAGCGUGGCCAGCGGCCGGAGCAGUUUCGCCUUCCCCUCCUACAUCAUGUCUUAUUCAAGUCUUGUUUGGCUAUUGAAAAUAAAACAAAAAGUGAUUAUAUUAUAUGGUCCAGAAACACUUAAUCCUGAGAAAAUCCGUUUAUGUUUAGCAAGAAAUGGCUAUGGAAUACUGAAUUUUUGGAGGAUUUGAGGGGAAUGAAGCCUGGUCCGAGAUCAGUCGCAGGAUGUCUGAAUAUCAUGGAAUGGUCUCGAACCAGGCAACAUUCACCUCAACAAUUCAUCUGUAUUUACGAGAGAGAAAGAGAGAAAAGAUGGGAGUGUUUGAU
rnacentral:lncRNA from 1 species